rnacentral:rRNA from 1 species
GGGAUCUGCCCGAUAGAGGGGGAUAACUACUGGAAACGGUGGCUAAUACCGCAUAAUGUCUACGGACCAAAGCAGGGGCUCUUCGGACCUUGCACUAUCGGAUGAACCCAUAUGGGAUUAGCUAGUAGGUGGGGUAAAGGCUCACCUAGGCGACGAUCUCUAGCUGGUCUGAGAGGAUGAUCAGCCACACUGGGACUGAGACACGGCCCAG